rnacentral:rRNA from 1 species
GACGAACGCUGGCGGCGUGCUUAACACAUGCAAGUCGAACGGAAAGGCCCUGCUUUUGUGGGGUGCUCGAGUGGCGAACGGGUGAGUAACACGUGAGUCACCUGCCCUUGACUUUGUGAUAACUUCAGGCAACUGCGGCUAAUACCGGAUAGGAGCUCCUGCUGCAUGGUGGGGGUCGGACCGUUUCGGCGGUUGGGGAUGGACUCGCGGCUUAUCAGCUUGUUGGUGGGGUAGUGGCUUACCAAGGCUUUGACGGGUAGCCGGCCUGAGAGGGUGACCGGCCACAUGGGUACUGAGAUACGGCCCAGACUCCUACGUGAGGCAGCAGUGGGGAAUAUUGCACAAUGGGCGGAAGCCUGAUGCAGCAGCGCCGCGUGCGGGAUGACGGCCUUCGGGUUGUAAACCGCUUUCGCCUGUGACGAAGCGUGAGUGACGGUAAUGGGUAAAGAAGCACCGGCUAACUACGUG